rnacentral:lncRNA from 1 species
UUUCCUUUCAGACACAAAUCGUUUUGGCCAAAGCCCAGGAGAUCUAAAGCAGGUCCAUCUUUCCAGUGGUGCCAGGGAAGACUAGAGCUGGAGGAGAUGUGAUUCUGAAGACCUGCAACCAUUUUGUGUUCAAUGGCACUGAAAAGCAACUCCUCUGCCAUAAGGUGCUGUUUGAGGCUGAAAACUCUUUUCAGUGUGGCUGCAAACCGGUGAAACCAGCUGCAACCGAACAGGCAGGUUUCCCGUUCUCUCCUGCACUUUGGUCUGUGAGCCCUCACUGAACUCACAUGUUCAGCUCAGGAAGGAAAGCAAACCCAGACACCACACAAGCGAGCAAUGGAGGAAAUACUGCAGAGCUCAUAUUGGAUGAUACAUGCAACUGUUCUUCAAAGUACAGUGAAGAAAAGAGGUACUCGUAGCAAAGACCAUCUUGCACAAGAAACCUUUAGUGAGUGGGGACUGCGCAUCACGGUCACUCCACUGCCACAGCCAGACUGCUCAGUCUGCAGUACCUUGGAUCCCAGGGAUGCUACAGACUAAUUGAAGAACAUUAUUCCUGCUCAAAGGAUCCCAGUGAGCCCAUCUCACAGACCAGCACAACAAGCUGAAGAUCCACAGUGUCUCCCUGAGAGCCUGCUGCUUUGCUACAAUCCAAGGACCUCCAGGAGUUCAAGCCACUCUCCACAUUAGCUUCUCCUGCAUGUUGGGGUGCUGGGGGCUCCCCAUGGCCAGGACAAGAGGCCAGGGUCAGGUGUGGGAGGGCUGCCAUGGGGCAGGGGUUGGCUGGGGCUGCCCGACUCUGGCGUCGGUAUUUCUGCUGAGAACAAGGGCUGCUCAGCAUCCUGUAUUGAUUUGCCUCACCCAAGGUCACCUUAGAAUCUGAUUUAUAUUAAGAAAAUCAAUUUUUCAAAAAGUCGUUGCUGAAAGCAAUGCUUGACUUCUAAAUUCAGAGCACAGCUGGGCAUGUGUCUGGAUUACCCAAUUCUUAUUAAAGGCAGAAGGAAAUCUGCCCACACCAUAGCUUUGUACUGGAAACACAUACAAUGAAAUUGCUAUUACUCACUAUUGUAACUCAAAAAGACUUAAAAGCAUAAGACUGCUUCCUUUUCUAUAUAAUUCCUAUAAUUUUGGCUUUUCCCAACCCCACCUAAAGUUGCUAGCAGAUCUGCUUUGUCCUGGGAAGGAAAAAGGGGUUUUGAAAUGCAGUCCUUUCCAAGUAUUUUGCCCCAGUUUCAUCAUUUCCUUCCUCAGUGAAACAUGCAUAUUCACCUCUUUUUUAUUAACAGACAAUCAGAUGAUACUUAGUCAUCCAUUAGUCAAGGUUCUGCACAGAUGUCAUGCAAUGUGCACAGGAACUCAGUAGUGUAAUGUCAGGAUUAUUUCCCUGCUUC